AGAUGGGAGGGCAAGCUGACUGCCACAUCUGUCACCUCGUGAUUCUUCAGUGAUUCUGCUCAUCUGGAUUGCCAGGUGGGGUUCCCUUCCUCCCUCUACCUUUCAUCUGCUUUCAUUCUAAAUCUCAAUCAGAAAGGAUGAUCUUCCCAAAUAGAGCAUAAACCAUCUGCAUUCAAGGGAAUUCAAGUUGGAGAGAAUUUCAAAAUUAGCUCUGCUUAUGAGGGCCAGAUAACUUCCUUU
rnacentral:snRNA from 1 species